rnacentral:rRNA from 1 species
GACGAACGCUGGCGGCGUGCCUAAUACAUGCAAGUCGAACGCAGUGGGGACGGGUGAGUAACCCGUGGGUAACCUCCCAUCAGAGGGGAUAACACUUGGAAACAGGUGCUAACCCGAUAGUGGUGGAUGGACCCGCGGUGCAUUGGCUAGUUGGUGAGGUAACGGCUCACCAAGGCCACGAUGCAUAGCCGACCUGGUAGGGUGAGAGGCCACACUGGGACUGAGACACGGCCAAGAGUCCUAGGGGAGGCAGCAGGGGGGAAUCUUCGGCAAUGGACGAAAGUCUGACCGAGAGACGCCGCGUGAGUGAAUAAGGUUUUCGGAUCGUAAAACUCUGUUGUUAGAGAAGCGGUAUCUAACCAGAAAGCCACGGCUAACUACGUGCCAGCAGCCGCGGUAAUAC